rnacentral:pre_miRNA from 1 species
UUAUUACUCCCUCCGUUCAACAAAAAAGUCUCAAAUUUGUCAAAAUUUGGAUGUAUCUAGACAUGACUUGAUGUAUAGAUGCAUUCAAAUUUAGUUAAGUUGAGACAUCCUUUGUUGGACGGAAAAGUAAGAA